GAUGAACGCUGGCGGCGUGCCUAAUACAUGCAAGUCGAGCGAACAGAUGAGAAGCUUGCUUCUCUGAUGUUAGCGGCGGACGGGUGAGUAACACGUGGGUAACCUACCUAUAAGACUGGGAUAACUCCGGGAAACCGGGGCUAAUACCGGAUAAUAUUUUGAACCGCAUGGUUCAAUAGUGAAAGACGGUUUCGGCUGUCACUUAUAGAUGGACCCGCGCCGUAUUAGCUAGUUGGUAAGGUAACGGCUUACCAAGGCGACGAUACGUAGCCGACCUGAGAGGGUGAUCGGCCACACUGGAACUGAGACACGGUCCAGACUCCUACGGGAGGCAGCAGUAGGGAACCUUCCGCAAUGGGCGAAAGCCUGACGGAGCAACGCUGCGUGAGUGAUGAAGGUCUUCGGAUCGUAAAACUCUGUUGUUAGGGAAGAACAAAUUUGUUAGUAACUGAACAAGUCUUGACGGUACCUAACCAGAAAGCCACGGCUAACUACGUGCCAGCCGCCGCCGUAAAAC
rnacentral:rRNA from 1 species